CCGACCUUAGCUCAGUUGGUAGAGCGAAGGACUGUAGUAGGCNCCCUGAUCACUCCCCCUUUGUUGUUUGUGGUUUGUGUACGCCUCUUGUUGUCCAGCUGUUCUUUCCUUGACUCCCAUGAUUUUCCAUAGGAGUGGAGCUCGGGACUUGGGCUUCGGAGCUCUGAGCUCAUUAUCCGACCUAGUCUCCCANCACAAUUAAUUCUUAGGUCACUGAUUCGAUCCGGCAAGUCGGA